rnacentral:rRNA from 1 species
GAUGAACGCUAGCGGCAGGCUUAACACAUGCAAGUCGAGGGGUAUAGAAAGCUUGCUUUCUAGAGACCGGCAAACGGGUGCGGAACACGUACACAACCUACCUUUAUCAGGGGGAUAGCCUUCGGAAACGGAGAUUAAUACCCCAUAGUAUUAUGGAGUGGCAUCAUUUUAUAAUUAAAGAAUUUCGGAUAGAGAUGGGUGUGCGUAAGAUUAGCUAGUUGGUGAGGUAAAGGCUCACCAAGGCAACGAUCUUUAGCUGAUGUGAGAGCAUGAACAGCCACACGGGCACUGAGACACGAGCCCGACUCCUACGGGAGGCAGCAGUGAGGAAUAUUGGUCAAUGGACGGAAGUCUGAACCAGCCAUGCCGCGUGAAGGAUGAAGGCGUUCUGCGUUGUAAACUUCUUUUAUUUAGGAAGAAACCACUUUUUUUUAAGAGUGUUGACGGUAUUAAAUGAAUAAGCACCGGCUAACUCCGUGCCAGCAGCCGCCGUAAAAC